UUAAAAAGGUGGAAUAUUAUAAACAUCAUGCAGCCAAAGAGUAAGGUGCGAUCAUAGUACUGGUCUAGUUGUUGUCUCAUUGGACAUAGUUUACCACUGGCCAGCCUCCAAAUUCCCAUACAGGA